AACCUUGCGCAGUGACAAUAUCGUAACAAAUGAAGGUCUCCUGAGGGGCGAUUAUUGCUAGUUGAAACUUUUACCAAUUUAAGGAAAGUGUGUAACAGAUGUUCAUUUUUAAAUAACAAACGUUGCAUUUAAUUAACAGUAGUCUAUUAAUCCCCAAAUUUCCUAUUUUUGUCUAAUUUUCUAAUU
rnacentral:snRNA from 1 species